rnacentral:rRNA from 1 species
CUACGGGGGGCACCAGUGGGGAAUAUUGCACAAUGGAGGAAACUCUGAUGCAGCAACGCCGCGUGGAGGAUGACACUUUUCGGAGCGUAAACUCCUUUUAUAUAGGAAGAAGAUGACGGUACUAUAUGAAUAAGCGCCGGCUAACUCCGUGCCAGCAGCCGCGGUAAUACGGAGGGCGCAAGCGUUACUCGGAAUCACUGGGCGUAAAGAGCGUGUAGGCGGAUUAAAAAGUCAGAAGUGAAAUCCUAUAGCUUAACUAUAGAACUGCUUCUGAAACUCUUAAUCUAGAAUAUGGGAGAGGUAGAUGGAAUUUCUGGUGUAGGGGUAAAAUCCGUAGAGAUCAGAAGGAAUACCGAUUGCGAAGGCGAUCUACUAGAACAUUAUUGACGCUGGGACGCGAAAGCGUGGGGAGCAAACAGGAUUAGAUACCCCCGGUAGUC